UAAAGAUUUAUCGGUGAUGGAUGGGGAUGCGUCUGAUUAGCUUGUUGGCGGGGUAACGGCCCACCAAGGCGACGAUCAGUAGGGGUUCUGAGAGGAAGGUCCCCCACAUUGGAACUGAGACACGGUCCAAACUCCUACGGGAGGCAGCAGUGAGGAAUAUUGGUCAAUGGGCGAGAGCCUGAACCAGCCAAGUAGCGUGCAGGAAGACGGCCCUAUGGGUUGUAAACUGCUUUUAUAGGGGAAUAAAGUGAGCCACGUGUGGUUUUUUGCAUGUACCCUAUGAAUAAGGACCGGCUAAUUCCGUGCCAGCAGCCGCGGUAAUACGGAAGGUCCGGGCGUUAUCCGGAUUUAUUGGGUUUAAAGGGAGCGUAGGCCGGAGAUUAAGCGUGUUGUGAAAUGUAGAUGCUCAACAUCUGCACUGCAGCGCGAACUGGUUUCCUUGAGUACGCAUAAAGUGGGCGGAAUUCGUGGUGUAGCGGUGAAAUGCUUAGAUAUCACGAAGAACUCCGAUUGCGAAGGCAGCUCACUGGGGCGCAACUGACGCUGAAGCUCGAAAGCGCGGGUAUCGAACAGGAUUAGAUACCCUGGUAGUCCGCGCGGUAAACGAUGGAUGCCCGCUGUUGGGCCAACUGGUUCAGCGGCCAAGCGAAAGCAUUAAGCAUCCCACCUGGGG
rnacentral:rRNA from 1 species